rnacentral:pre_miRNA from 1 species
CAACUACUCCCUUUGUCCCAAAAUUCUUCUCUUACAUUUGUCUAGAUACGGAUGUAUCUAAUACUAAAAUGUGACUUGAUACAUCCGUAUCUAGACAAAUCUAAGACAAGAAUUUUGGGACGGAGGGAGUACUUU